GUCAGUCUUUGUCCAGGGGGCCGCCUUCGCCACCGGUAUUCCUCCAGAUCUCUACGCAUUUCACCGCUACACCUGGAAUUCUACCCCCCUCUACAAGACUCAAGCUUGCCAGUUUCAAAUGCAGUUCCCAGGUUGAGCCCGGGGAUUUCACAUCUGACUUAACAAACCGCCUGCGUGCGCUUUACGCCCAGUAAUUCCGAUUAACGCUUGCACCCUCCGUAUUACCGCGGCUGCUGGCACGGAGUUAGCCGGUGCUUCUUCUGCGAGUAACGUCAAUCGCUAAGGUUAUUAACCUUAACGCCUUCCUCCUCGCUGAAAGUACUUUACAACCCGAAGGCCUUCUUCAUACACGCGGCAUGGCUGCAUCAGGCUUGCGCCCAUUGUGCAAUAUUCCCCACUGCUGCCUCCCGUAGGAGUCUGGACCGUGUCUCAGUUCCAGUGUGGCUGGUCAUCCUCUCAGACCAGCUAGGGAUCGUCGCCUAGGUGAGCCAUUACCCCACCUACUAGCUAAUCCCAUCUGGGCACAUCUGAUGGCAUGAGGCCCGAAGGUCCCCCACUUUGGUCUUGCGACGUUAUGCGGUAUUAGCUACCGUUUCCAGUAGUUAUCCCCCUCCAUCAGGCAGUUUCCCAGACAUUACUCACCCGUCCGCCGCUCGUCACCCGA
rnacentral:rRNA from 1 species